AUUGAACGCUGGCGGCAGGCCUAACACAUGCAAGUCGAACGAGUGGCGGACGGGUGCGUAAUGUCUGGGAAACUGCCUGAUGGAGGGGGAUAACUACUGGAAACGGUAGCUAACAACGCAUACCCUCGGAUGUGCACAGAUGGGAUGAGCUAGCAGGUGGGGUAAAGGCUCACCUAGGCGACGAUCCCUAGCUGGUCUGAGAGGCUGACCAGCCACACUGGAACUGAGACACGGUCCAGACUACGACGGGAGGCAGCAGUGGGGAAUAUUGCACAAUGGGCGAAAGCCUGAUGCAGCCAUGCCGCGUGUAUGAAGAAGGCCUUCGGGUUGUAAAGUACUUUCAGCGGGGAGGCGUUACCCGCAGAAGAAGCACCGGCUAACUCCGUGCCAGCAGCCGCGGUAAUAC
rnacentral:rRNA from 1 species